rnacentral:rRNA from 1 species
GACGAACGCUGGCGGCGUGCCUAAUACAUGCAAGUAGAACGCUGAAGGAGGAGCUUGCUCUUCUGGAUGAGUUGCGAACGGGUGAGUAACGCGUAGGUAACCUGCCUGGUAGCGGGGGAUAACUAUUGGAAACGAUAGCUAAUACCGCAUAACAGUAGAUGUUGCAUGACAUUUACUUAAAAGGUGCAAUUGCAUCACUACCAGAUGGACCUGCGUUGUAUUAGCUAGUUGGUGGGGUAACGGCUCACCAAGGCGACGAUACAUAGCCGACCUGAGAGGGUGAUCGGCCACACUGGGACUGAGACACGGCCCAGACUCCUACGGGAGGCAGCAGUAGGGAAUCUUCGGCAAUGGACGGAAGUCUGACCGAGCAACGCCGCGUGAGUGAAGAAGGUUUUCGGAUCGUAAAGCUCGGUUGUAAGAGAAGAACGAGUGUGAGAGUGGAAAGUUCACACUGUGACGGUAUCUUACCAGAAAGGGACGGCUAACUACGUG